CAUGCACCACCACCCAUAGAAUCAAGAAAGAGCUCUCAGUCUGUCAAUCCUUGCUAUGUCUGGAUUCAACGAGUAUAUAGCCUUGGCCGACAGGCCCGGGUAAUCUUGGGAAAUUUCAUCGUGAUGGGGAUAGAUCAUUGCAAUUGUUGGUCUUCAACGAGGAAUG
rnacentral:ncRNA from 1 species